rnacentral:rRNA from 1 species
UACGUAGGGACCAAGCGUUGUUCGGAUUUACUGGGCGUAAAGGGCGCGUAGGCGGCCCUACAAGUCACUUGUGAAAUCUCCGGGCUUAACUCGGAACGGCCAAGUGAAACUGUAGAGCUAGAGUGUGGAAGGGGCAAUCGGAAUUCUUGGUGUAGUGGUGAAAUGCGUAGAUAUCAAGAGGAACACCUGAGGUGAAGACGGGUUGCUGGGCCAACACUGACGCUGAGGCGCGAAGCCAGGGGAGCAAACGGG